UAAAUUUUUGGAAACGUUUCU
rnacentral:piRNA from 1 species